rnacentral:lncRNA from 7 species
ACAGAUUCAUGAGUAUUCAUGAGGGCAGCUGGGUUCUUCUAGAUGGCAAUGGUUUAUGAACUAGAAAGGAGGGAUUCAUAUCCUAUGUCCAGACCCCUGGAACAGUUAGGGAUUGAAGCAUUCUCUGACCCAGACUAGCUGCCUAGAGACCACGAUCCCAGCAGCAAGAAAUGGAAACUGUUGGAUACCAAGAAGAAAACUGCUGCUGGGUCACUCCAAGCCAGCACAGCCUCCAGGUGUCAGAAAUACUUGGACAGAGAGAUCCAAGACAGGCCAUGCACUCUGCUCAGCUCAUCCUCUGCCACUGCUCCUCCCUGCAAACACCUCCCACACCCCAGUUCCCCUGAAGACAGAGAGGGCAAGAGAAAUCUGGAGUCGCGUGUGAGGAGCUUAACGCCUGCCAACAUUAGCAGCACUGAACACAUUCAGCAACAAUCCGUCAGCAUCUGAGAUCCCAUGCACCUAGGACAACACAGGAUAUCCCCAUCCUACCAGUGGAGACUGCUGUUAGCUGGAGUCUGUACACAUCGUUAGUUCAAGAGCUGUAAUCGCAAUCAUGGGUCCCCUAUUGCCGUGCUUUGCAGAAGAAACCCAACUUUCAUGUUUUUCUCCCAGCGCCUGUGAAAGAUGAAGGGAAAAGAGGUGUAGGAUACAGAAAAGAUCGACUUUAGAAACUGAAAGAGCCUUGAAAGCUGAGCAAGAAGAAUCAGAGCCAGGCCUGUGGGGGAGGGAGCGGGAUGGCUGGAGCUGCCUGCUGUCACCCCAGUGCCUCUUGACAUGAGUUGGGAGGCAACCGAGCUAAAGCCUCAGAUGCUGAGGCUGCGUGUGUCUGGGUAUGAAUGCAGUCCCCCUGGCCUUGCUUCUGACCAUCAGUAUAAAUAAGAUUUUCUCUGUGUUUCUCCCUC